GUGGGGAAUUUUGGACAAUGGGCGCAAGCCUGAUCCAGCAAUGCCGCGUGCAGGAAGAAGGCCUUCGGGUUGUAAACUGCUUUUGUACGGAACGAAACGGUCCUGGCUAAUAUCCGGGGCUAAUGACGGUACCGUAAGAAUAAGCACCGGCUAACUACGUGCCCGCAGCCGCGGUAAUACGUAGGGUGCGAGCGUUAAUCGGAAUUACUUGGCGUAAAGCGUGCGCAGGCGGUGCUGUAAGACAGGCGUGAAAGCCCCGGGCUCAACCUGGGAAUUGCGCUGGUGACUGCAGUGCUGGAGUACGGCAGAGGGGGAUGGAAUUCCGCGUGUAGCAGUGAAAUGCGUAGAUAUGCGGAGGAACACCGAUGGCGAAGGCAGUCCCCUGGGCCUGUACUGACGCUCAUGCACGAAAGCGUGGGGAGCAAACAGGAUUAGAAACCCGGGUAGUCC
rnacentral:rRNA from 1 species